CUUGAUCGAAUACCUGAUUCCGUGAAGAUCAUCCCCGGGAAGGUGCGCCCAUCUUCACGCCCCCACACCGAGGCU
rnacentral:sRNA from 15 species